rnacentral:rRNA from 1 species
UGAGGAAUAUUGGUCAAUGGGGGCAACCCUGAACCAGCCAAGUCGCGUGAAGGAUGAAGGUCUUAUGGAUUGUAAACUUCUUUUACACGGGAAUAAAGUGGGGGACGUGUCCCCCUUUGCAUGUACCGUGUGAAUAAGGAUCGGCUAACUCCGUGCCAGCAGCCGCGGUAAUACGUAGGGGGCAAGCGUUGUCCGGAUUUACUGGGUGUAAAGGGCGCGCAGGCGGGAUAAAAAGUCAGUGGUGAAAUCCUACAGCUUAACUGUAGAACUGCCUUUGAUACUUUUAUUCUUGAGUUCGGGAGAGAGAGACGGAAUUCCAGGUGUAGUGGUGAAAUACGUAGAUAUCUGGAAGAACACCAGUUGCGAAGGCGGUCUCUUGGUCCGACACUGACGCUGAGGCGCGAAAGCGUGGGGAGCAAACA